rnacentral:rRNA from 1 species
AGGCGAUGAAGGACGUGCUAAUCUGCGAUAAGCGUCGGUGAGGUGAUAUGAACCGUUAUAACCGGCGAUUUCCGAAUGGGGAAACCCAGUGUGUUUCGACACACUAUCAUUAACUGAAUCCAUAGGUUAAUGAGGCGAACCGGGGGAACUGAAACAUCUAAGUACCCCGAGGAAAAGAAAUCAACCGAGAUUCCCCCAGUAGCGGCGAGCGAACGGGGAGGAGCCCAGAGCCUGAAUCAGUGUGUGUGUUAGUGGAAGCGUCUGGAAAGGCGUGCGAUACAGGGUGACAGCCCCGUACACAAAAAUGCACAUAUUGUGAGCUCGAUGAGUAGGGCGGGACACGUGGUAUCCUGUCUGAAUAUGGGGGGACCAUCCUCCAAGGCUAAAUACUCCUGACUGACCGAUAGUGAACCAGUACCGUGAGGGAAAGGCGAAAAGAACCCCGGCGAGGGGAGUGAAAAAGAACCUGAAACCGUGUACGUACAAGCAGUGGGAGCCUCUUAAUGGGGUGACUGCGUACCUUUUGUAUAAUGGGUCAGCGACUUAUAUUCUGUAGCAAGGUUAACCGAAUAGGGGAGCCGAAGGGAAACCGAGUCUUAACUGGGCGUUAAGUUGCAGGGUAUAGACCCGAAACCCGGUGAUCUAGCCAUGGGCAGGUUGAAGGUUGGGUAACACUAACUGGAGGACCGAACCGACUAAUGUUGAAAAAUUAGCGGAUGACUUGUGGCUGGGGGUGAAAGGCCAAUCAAACCGGGAGAUAGCUGGUUCUCCCCGAAAGCUAUUUAGGUAGCGCCUCGUGAAUUCAUCUCCGGGGGUAGAGCACUGUUUCGGCAAGGGGGUCAUCCCGACUUACCAACCCGAUGCAAACUGCGAAUACCGGAGAAUGUUAUCACGGGAGACACACGGCGGGUGCUAACGUCCGUCGUGAAGAGGGAAACAACCCAGACCGCCAGCUAAGGUCCCAAAGUCAUGGUUAAGUGGGAAACGAUGUGGGAAGGCCCAGACAGCCAGGAUGUUGGCUUAGAAGCAGCCAUCAUUUAAAGAAAGCGUAAUAGCUCACUGGUCGAGUCGGCCUGCGCGGAAGAUGUAACGGGGCUAAACCAUGCACCGAAGCUGCGGCAGCGACACUAUGUGUUGUUGGGUAGGGGAGCGUUCUGUAAGCCUGUGAAGGUGGCCUGUGAGGGUUGCUGGAGGUAUCAGAAGUGCGAAUGCUGACAUAAGUAACGAUAAAGCGGGUGAAAAGCCCGCUCGCCGGAAGACCAAGGGUUCCUGUCCAACGUUAAUCGGGGCAGGGUGAGUCGACCCCUAAGGCGAGGCCGAAAGGCGUAGUCGAUGGGAAACAGGUUAAUAUUCCUGUACUUGGUGUUACUGCGAAGGGGGGACGGAGAAGGCUAUGUUGGCCGGGCGACGGUUGUCCCGGUUUAAGCGUGUAGGCUGGUUUUCCAGGCAAAUCCGGAAAACCAAGGCUGAGGCGUGAUGACGAGGCACUACGGUGCUGAAGCGACAAAUGCCCUGCUUCCAGGAAAAGCCUCUAAGCAUCAGGUAACAUCAAAUCGUACCCCAAACCGACACAGGUGGUCAGGUAGAGAAUACCAAGGCGCUUGAGAGAACUCGGGUGAAGGAACUAGGCAAAAUGGUGCCGUAACUUCGGGAGAAGGCACGCUGAUAUGUAGGUGAAGCGACUUGCUCGUGGAGCUGAAAUCAGUCGAAGAUACCAGCUGGCUGCAACUGUUUAUUAAAAACACAGCACUGUGCAAACACGAAAGUGGACGUAUACGGUGUGACGCCUGCCCGGUGCCGGAAG